AACGAACGCUGGCGGCAGGCCUAAUACAUGCAAGUCGAGCGCUCUAGCAAUAGAGAGCGGCGCACGGGUGCGUAACGCGUGGGAAUGUACCUCUAGGUGCGGAACAACGUCGGGAAACUGACGCUAAUACCGCAUAAUAUCUCCGGAUCAAAGAUUUAUCGCCUAGGGAUCAGCCCGCGUUGGAUUAGCUAGUUGGUGAGGUAAUGGCUCACCAAGGCGACGAUCCAUAGCUGGUCUGAGAGGAUGAUCAGCCACACUGGAACUGAGACACGGUUCAGACUCCUACGGGAGGCAGCAGUGGGGAAUAUUGGACAAUGGGCGAAAGCCUGAUCCAGCCACGCCGCGUGGGUGAUGAAGGCCUCGGUUGUAAGACCGUCGUCGGAGGGACGGAAGUACAAUAGACGGUACCG
rnacentral:rRNA from 1 species